rnacentral:rRNA from 1 species
CCCUGCCUUUUGUACACACCGCCCGUCGCACCUACCGAUUGAACGAUCCGGUGAAAUCUUCGGAUUCUGUCAUGUUGCUUUUGUUAGUGGUAUGACGGGAAAAGUUGAGUAAACCUUAUCGUUUAGAGGAAGGUGAAGUCGUAACAAGGUUU